rnacentral:rRNA from 1 species
AUUGAACGCUGGCGGCAGGCUUAACACAUGCAAGUCGAGCGGGGUGAUGGUGCUUGCACUAUCACUUAGCGGCGGACGGGUGAGUAAUGCUUAGGAAUCUGCCUAUUAGUGGGGGACAACAUCUCGAAAGGGAUGCUAAUACCGCAUACGUCCUACGGGAGAAAGCAGGGGAUCACUUGUGACCUUGUGCUAAUAGAUGAGCCUAAGUCGGAUCAGCUUGUUGGUGGGGUAAAGGCCUGCCAAGGCGACGAUCUGUAGCGGGUCUGAGAGGAUGAUCCGCCACACUGGGACUGAGACACGGCCCAGACUCCUACGGGAGGCAGCAGUGGGGAAUAUUGGACAAUGGGGGGAACCCUGAUCCAGCCAUGCCGCGUGUGUGAAGAAGGCCUUAUGGUUGUAAAGCACUUUAAGCGAGGAGGAGGCUUACCUAGUUAAUACCUGGGAUAAGUGGACGUUACUCGCAGAAUAAGCACCGGCUAACUCUGUGCCAGCCGCCGCGGUAA